UAAUUUUGAAUGUUAAGGCAUAACAAACUUUGAAUUUGUAAGAUCUAGAAUCUAACUAGAAAAAUUAA
rnacentral:tRNA from 1 species